rnacentral:rRNA from 1 species
AACGAACGCUGGCGGCAUGCCUAACACAUGCAAGUCGAACGAGACCUUCGGGUUUAGUGGCGCACGGGUGCGUAACGCGUGGGAACCUGCCCUUAGGUUCGGAAUAACUCCCCGAAAGGGGUGCUAAUACCGGAUAAUGUCUUCGGACCAAAGAUUUAUCGCCUUUGGAUGGGCCCGCGUUGGAUUAGCUAGUUGGUAGGGUAAAAGCCUACCAAGGCGACGAUCCAUAGCUGGUCUGAGAGGAUGAUCAGCCACACUGGGACUGAGACACGGCCCAGACUCCUACGGGAGGCAGCAGUGGGGAAUAUUGGACAAUGGGCGAAAGCCUGAUCCAGCAAGGCCGCGUGAGUGAUGAAGGCCUUAGGGUUGUAAAGCUCUUUUACCCGGGAUGAUAAUGACAGUACCGGGAGAAUAAGCUCCGGCUAACUCCGUG